rnacentral:tRNA from 1 species
GCGCCCGUAGCUCAAUUUAGAAGAGCAGCCGCCUUUUAAGCGAGCUGGUUGCGAGUUCGAGCCUCGCCGGGUGCACCA